rnacentral:lncRNA from 1 species
AAUCACACAAGACCUUAAAAGCUGAGAACUUCCUCCUGCUGGGGACAGGACAGAUGAGGCAGAAGGGGAGGUUAGGGAGGUUUGAAGAGUGAGAAGAACUUCUGCAGUGGCUGACUUGGAAGAUGAAGGAGGUUAUGAACCAGGGAAUGGGGGCAGCCUCUAGAGGCUGAGAACCUGCUGACACCUACCCACAACCGCUAAGGAAAUGAAGACUUUAAUUCCACAACUGCAUGCAACUAAACUCAGCCAACAACCUGAAUAAGUCGGAAAAAGGCUUCUCCAGAGCCUCCAGAUAAGAGGCCAGGCUGGCGACACCUUGAUUUUGACCUUGUGAGACCUAGAGCAGAGAAACUAGCCAAGAUCACUCAGACUUCUGAUCUACAGAACUGUGAGACCGUAAAUUUAUGUUGUAUUAAGCCACUAAUUGCGUGGGAAUUUGUUACAGGAGCAAUAGAAAAUGAAUACACCUUCUGAUGUAGUUUAAUCAGUUGACAUUAGGGGUGACACCAAGAUGUGCUACACUGAACCCAACUUCUGCAUGUUUAAGACAAGACGCAAGGUCAAAAAUUUACAUCAGGUAUCUGAAUGUGUAGCAUAUACAACUGAGUGUUGAAAGAAGACAAAAUCGUUUUCAUCACGAAGAAUAUGUGCUCAGUAAGAAUCAGAAUGUUCAAUUGUGUGAAGGUGGGAGAUGGGAAGAUUGGUAUUAUGGCCUGGAUCCAGAAAUCAGUCUUCCACUAUAGGAAAUGGGAAUUUAAAGAUGAUCAGAAGACAGUUGGGAGCAGAGUGAGAAUAAGAACCCUCAACUGCUGUCUCACCUUUCAGAUCACGAAGAAGUUUUUUACAAUGAGCAGAACACUCAACCUGAAAGCAGAAUGGAUUGAGUCACUGCAGCGUGGCAGUGGAAUGGUGUUUGAUGUUGGCAAAGGAAACAUGUACUUCUAGACUGGACAGUUUUCCCUUAGUUUACAGUUUCCAAAUAGAGACAUCACUUUGAAAUAACAUGGAGAACAUACAUGGAUGUACUGAACGAAGAAUAAAGUCUGUGUUGCAGUCCUGUCUCCAUUGACUUUUACAAAUAUGGCUUUGGAUGAAUCACCUAAGUUUUAUUUUUGAGAAUUUACGCUUACCAUGUAUAAAAUGAUAUUGCUAAUAUGUUUGCUGCCUACCCCAUUGGGUUUUGUGAGGAAUAAAUGAUAAUGCUAAGAAAAAGG